rnacentral:rRNA from 1 species
CCCUUAGAUGUUCUGGGCCGCACGCGCGCUACAAUGACAGAACCAGCAAGUUAACCAGUGCUGGAAAGCAUAGGAAAUCUCAUGAGUGUCUGUCGUGAUGGGGCUAGACCCUUGGAAUUAUUGGUCUCCAACGAGGAAUUCCUAGUAAACGCAAGUCAUCAACUUGCAUUGAUUACGUCCCUGCCCUUUGUACACACCGCCCGUCGCACCUACCGAUUGAAUGGUCCGGUGAAGUCUCCGGACCUGGUCUCGAAUCUACGAUGGCCGGGGAAGUUGAGUAAACCUUACCAUUUAGAGGAAGGUGAAGUCGUAACA